rnacentral:rRNA from 1 species
UAGGGAAUCUUCGGCAAUGGGGGCAACCCUGACCGAGCAACGCCGCGUGAGUGAAGAAGGUUUUCGGAUCGUAAAGCUCUGUUGUAAGUCAAGAACGAGUGUGAGAGUGGAAAGUUCACACUGUGACGGUAGCUUACCAGAAAGGGACGGCUAACUACGUGCCAGCAGCCGCGGUAAUACGUAGGUCCCGAGCGUUGUCCGGAUUUAUUGGGCGUAAAGCGAGCGCAGGCGGUUUGAUAAGUCUGAAGUUAAAGGCUGUGGCUCAACCAUAGUUCGCUUUGGAAACUGUCAAACUUGAGUGCAGAAGGGGAGAGUGGAAUUCCAUGUGUAGCGGUGAAAUGCGUAGAUAUAUGGAGGAACACCGGUAGCGAAAGCGGCUCUCUGGUCUGUAACUGACGCUGAGGCUCGAAAGCGUGGGGAGCGAACAGGAUUAGAUACCCUGGUAGUCCACGCCGUAAACGAUGAGUGCUAGGUGUUGGAUCCUUUCCGGGAUUCAGUGCCGCAGCUAACGCAUUAAGCACUCCGCCUGGGGAGUACGACCGCAAGGUUG